rnacentral:rRNA from 1 species
CACGUAGGGGGCAAGCGUUGUCCGGAUUUAUUGGGCGUAAAGAGCUCGUAGGCGGUUCGGUAAGUCGGGUGUGAAACCUCCAGGCUCAACCUGGAGGCGCCACCUGAUACUGCUGUGACUAGAGUCCGGUAGGGGAGCGUGGAAUUCCUGGUGUAGUGGUGAAAUGCAUAGAUAUCAGGAGGAACACCAGCGGCGAAGGCGGCGCUCUGGGCCGGAACUGACGCUGAGGAGCGAAAGCGUGGGUAGCAAACAGG